GACAGAGGGGGCAAGCGUUGCUCGGAAUUACUGGGCGUAAAGGGCGCGUAGGCGGUAUGGCAAGUCGGUCGUGAAAUCCUUCGGCUCAACCGAAGAGCGUCGAUCGAUACUGCUGUUCUUGAGGGUUGCAGAGGAGACUGGAAUUCCCGGUGUAGCGGUGAAAUGUGUAGAGAUCGGGAGGAACACCGGUGGCGAAGGCGGGUCUCUGGGCAAUUCCUGACGCUGAGGCGCGAAAGCGUGGGGAGCAAACGGG
rnacentral:rRNA from 1 species